AACGAACGCUGGCGGCAUGCCUAACACAUGCAAGUCGAACGAGACCUUCGGGUCUAGUGGCGCACGGGUGCGUAACGCGUGGGAACCUGCCCUUAGGUUCGGAAUAACUCCCCGAAAGGGGUGCUAAUACCGGAUAAUGUCUUCGGACCAAAGAUUUAUCGCCUUUGGAUGGGCCCGCGUUGGGUUAGCUAGUUGGUAGGGUAAAAGCCUACCAAGGCGACGAUCCAUAGCUGGUCUGAGAGGAUGAUCAGCCACACUGGGACUGAGACACGGCCCAGACUCCUACGGGAGGCAGCAGUGGGGAAUAUUGGACAAUGGGCGAAAGCCUGAUCCAGCAAUGCCGCGGGAGUGAUGAAGGCCUUAGGGUGGUAAAGCUCUUUUACCCGGGAUGAUAAUGACAGUACCGGGAGAAUAAGCUCCGGCUAACUCCGU
rnacentral:rRNA from 1 species